rnacentral:rRNA from 1 species
UUGCCAGACUCCUACGGGAGGCAGCAGUGGGGAAUCUUGCACAAUGGGCGAAAGCCUGAUGCAGCGACGCCGCGUGGGCGAAGAAGGCCUUUGGGCCGUAAAGCCCUGUCGGGAGGGAAGAAGGAAGCGACGGUACCUCCCAAGGAAGCCCCGGCUAACUACGUGCCAGCAGCCGCGGUAACACGUAGGGGGCGAGCGUUAUCCGGAAUCAUUGGGCGUAAAGGGUGCGUAGGCGGCCUUUUAAGCGCGGGGUCUAAGGCGGUGGCCCAACCACCGUUCGCCCCGCGAACUGGAGGGCUAGAGUGUCGGAGAGGGAAGCGGAAUUCCUAGUGUAGCGGUGAAAUGCGUAGAUAUUAGGAGGAACACCAGUGGCGAAGGCGGCUUCCUGGACGAAGACUGACGCUGAGGCACGAAAGCGUGGGGAGCGAACAGGAUUAGAUACCCCUGUA